UGAGAAUAUCAGUGCAGCUGGAAAGU
rnacentral:piRNA from 1 species